UACGUAGGGACCGAGCGUUGUCCGGAUUCAUUGGGCGUAAAGAGCUCGUAGGCGGCUGUUCAAGUCGAACGUGAAAACUCGGAGCUCAACUCCGAGCCUGCGUUCGAUACUGGACGGCUAGAGUCUGGUAGGGGGAUCUGGAAUUCCUGGUGUAGCGGUGGAAUGCGCAGAUAUCAGGAGGAACGACCGGUGGCGAAGGCGGCUCUCUAGUACGGUACUGACGCUGAGACGCGAAAGCGUGGGGAGCGAACAGG
rnacentral:rRNA from 1 species